rnacentral:antisense_RNA from 2 species
UGUUAUGGCGGCUGUGCGCGGGCAGACUUCGGUCUGGCCGAGUUUCCUAUGUCCUCGGUUUCUCACCCCGCGUACAGCUGCCACCCUA